rnacentral:lncRNA from 1 species
CGGGCAGUGCUCUCGGCUCCCAGGCUGCUGCAACCGUACUUAGGGGUCUAACCCUGCUGCCCCAGCCUUUAUGGGAGAAAAGAUUGUUCCCGACUCCAUUUAUUUCCAGGUAGAAAAGAAUCAGAGAGCCCUGCAGGGUGAAGGCGAAGACGAGGCGCUCCAGAUAAGUGUUUUUUUUUUCCUCUGUAUUACUUAUUUAUUAAAGCCAGUGAGGCAUAACUAAGAGAAGGGAAAGGAACCGAGGAAAGAGAGAAUACAAUGGCCCUUCAGGUUUUAAUGGGAGAGAUGGCUGGCAGUGAUUCCUAAAUUAUUAAAUAAAUCGAUUCGAUUCUUGAAGCUGGCCUCCAAGGUGUAUUUGUCAGUUUCAUUAUCUUUGUCUUCAAGAGUGGGAAGAGUCACUCAUGGAGAAAGUUUUAUUAUUUUUUUCCCCUCUGUUUUAUUUUGAAGGCUGCAAUUCAUGGCCCCCUCUCUAAUUAAACACUCACUUCUUUAUGUAACAGGAGCCGUGCUCUUUUCAUUUUUAUUUCGGCUUCUGUUCUGAUCCUAUUUGUCUUACAGGCCCGCAGACGUGUAACAAGAUCGGGUCAGCUUUAGGGCACACACACUUUGGAGAAUCUUGAUCCCAUUUGAAUUAUAGGACCGUGUGGUCACAGUCCCUGGUCACACUUCAUCCCCAGCCCAACAUCUGCGGGAGGUCAAGGCACUGGGAGUCCUGAGAUUUCAAACCAUCUGCCAAGGAAAAAGGAAGUCUGCGCUUGAGGAGGGAGGAGGAAGAACCUAAAUGAUAUUCUGAAGACCUUAAAGUUAUGUAUCGUGGACGAGGGCAGGAAAAUCGUUAUUAAUGGUAUCAGCCUAUUGUCUUCCUUCUGUGCCUCAGAGGGCGGUGGACAUAAUUAAAGUCGAAGCCGAGUUCAUUUUUCCCCUUGGAGGCUUAAAUAGCCUGGAGACAUUUCCCAUUCCUCCCUUCCCACUAGUGCCAGUUUUCCCCAGCUGCUGAAAAAUUCAACAUUCCUAUAAACUACAGUACUUUGUAAAGGUCAUUCGCCAGUUAAUCUGAACCCGGGGUCUGGAGCGCUGCUCACUGUAGCUACAGCAGUGGCCGUCCAGCCCCGUGACGUGGGGCCUGCCUGCGGAGAACUAGAGGGACACGAGGCAGGCACGCAGAGCUCUUUAAAUAUUGCCGAGCGUUUCCUGGAUCAGCAUGAUAUUUAAAGAUUUUUGUUCCACCUGCCUGCGAAAUAUAGAGUCCAGCCGAGAGGCAAGAAAAUGAAUAUGGAUUUCUUGCCCUUUCAGUGUAUUCACUCCAGAAAAUAGCCGUUUCUUCUUUUUUUUUUUCCCCUUUUUUGCCGAGCUGGAGACUGCAGGCUUCAGGCAGCCACGAUUACAAUCAUGCAUCAUGAAUGAAAUGUGCCAUUUGGAGAAAAUAAGCCACUCAUUCCAUUUCAAAACCCCCCACAAAUCAAUAGGGCUGGCAGAGUUUUGGGGCUGAGCUGGAUGUUGUGUUUGAACUGAAAUACUUUCUCAACACACUUCUGACACUCAGAGCAGUGGCCAGGGGCAGAUUCUGUGCCAGGGGCUCCAACAAGAGGAUGAUCAGCCUCUAAAAGUUGGAUCUGGUUCGGCACGUGAUGGAGAAGAGAGACUUAGUGCUGAUGGGCAGAAGAUUGGGCAGGGUCAGAAGAUGAGCUUCCCAGCUUGAGUUCUGCCUGAACUAGCUUUUUAUUAAUCCCCUCAAUCAAAAAACAACUCUGGAGAACUUCUUGUGUGCCAGGCACUGGGCUAAACUCUGGGAAUACAACAGCAACCAAGGUAGACACAGCCCCUGCCUUCACAUGGCUUCUAGAGAUUAAUAUGGGAGGCAGAACAAUUGCUGGGCCAUUGCAACACAGUGUGAUAAGCCUUAGGACACUGGGAAGAUUUUUCAUCUCUCUGGUUGCCCUUUUUUUAUAGGCAGAAUGAGGAAGUUUAAAAAGAUACACCCUCAAGACAUUCUCCCCUUCCAGGAUCCUAAUCAAUCAGUAGGGCAAUUAGACAACCAAAUAUUUGACCUCACCUUGUUUCCAGGUCCAGACAUGGCUCUUGCUCCUUUUUUCUCAAGGUCACCACAACCCAGUUUGCAGAUACAAGACAUGCAGAUGAAAUGUUGACUUACAGUUGAGGUGUCAGGUAAACGUUAUGGACUUUGGUAAGUUUUUGGCAGUUCAGAGAGUUCCUUGGGAGUUCAAAGGAAGGAGAGAUGGCUAAGUGCAUUAUCUGUGCCAGAUACACUUUUCUCUGCACCUUCUUAACCACUCCCCUGGCUCCCAUUACUUAUAUAGGGAGAAGACUCCUAAGUUUGUGUCUCCAGCCCAGAUAUUUCCCAUGAGCUUUCCCCAAUACCUGGCUCUUCCUUUGGCUAACUCCUACUCAUUUUCCAUCUCACACUUAGGCACCAUUUGUUCCAAGAGGAUUAUUCAUCCCCUUGAGCCUAGUUAGGCCUUCUAUCACAUGUUCCUGUGGCACCCUAGUCUUCAUCAGAGCACUUACCAUGAUCUUUUGUAACUGCUAUUCAAUGCUCUCCUCCACAAGUCUACAACAUCUUCAGGGGCAGGGACUAUGUCUAUCUGACUUGUUGUUUCCCCAAGGCCACUAUAGUGCUUUGUAUUUUUUGGUAUUUGGUAAGUAAUUUGUUAUAUAAAUGAAUGGCUUUCUAAUUCUUCUAGAGAAUAAACAUACUUUCUUUAAGGCAUGCAUCCAGACCUUUUCACCCUAUUUGGGUGGUCCAUCCCAGAAUAAGAUGAAACUAAAAUGGCUUUGUGCCAAUAUAUUCCUAACAGAGUGUGGUGUCUCAGGCAGAGUUUCCUAAAAAUCAGAGCUUGAGACAAGGUUCGAGUGCUAAUGUGUUAUUUGAGAGGUGCACUCCCAGGGCAGUGAAAAUGAAGCAAAAGAGAAGUGAGGCAGGGCGGGAUGGGAAGCAGCUCAAGGUGAUGUGUUACUAUGCUGGCCCCUGCUUCAUGAUGGCAUAUGUGUGCACCCACACACACAACAACUACAACAAACAACAUAAUCAUAGCCAGUUGCUCAGCAGGCACACCUGCUCAGCCAUGCGGGAUAUUUUUGGACAGACCAGACAGAAAAACCAUGCCUCAGAACAGUCCUUGGGAGGAAGAAGAGAAGGGGAUUUAUCCUCCCGCUCCUAUUCCCAUUGGUUAAGGUCAGUCCCUGUGGGAAGAGAACUUCCCUGUAUUUACGGUUUGUUUUAUCUGAUGUUCUUGAAAGCCACUGAGGAAGUCAGAGCUCAUGCCUUAUGACACGACAUUUCAUCCAAGUCACAUAUAUGCAGAACAGAGUAAAUAUAGUGGGCCUGAGACUGCUAUUCUUAAAAGGACCUGCUUGCAUUUUUGGUCCUUAGCUGGCAUCUGGGAACUUAGAUUUCAGGAGGAUUCGCAUCACCGUGCCUGAACUUUUUGUUCAAGUGAUGUAGUUUAUGCCGAACAUCUGCUUUCCUUCUGGGAGUCUGGAGUUUUGGUAUGUGCUGGCAGAGGAUACCUACGUGGCAAGUCCAUGAUAAAAACCCUGGUGCACUGAGUCUCUAAUGAGCUUCCCUGGUAGACUCAUUUCACGUAUAUCGUCAAAACCCAUUGCUAGAGGAACUGAGUGAGUCCUAUGGGACUCCACUGGGAGACGACUCUUGGAAGCUGGAGCCUGGUCUCCCCCAGACUUCUCCCUUUGCUGACUGUGCUUUGUAUCCUUCUGCUGUAGUAUAUCAUAGCAGUGAGUAUGAUUCUAUGCUGGAGUUCUGUGAGUCCUCCUAGCGAAUCAUUGAACCUGAGGGUGGACUUGGAGACCCCUGACACAGCAUACACGGCUUUGAACCAAGCAGACUUUGGGGAAUUGGUUGGCAGGGCAGAGGCUGAGGUGAAGCAAGAGGAUGAGGGUCUGGGAGACAGGGGAGGCUGAGGAGGUACAAAGGUGUGUCUGAUACAUGUAGCAAAAGAGCCCAGAUGGACCUUGGUGGCUAUCAGCUAGGCAAACUACUCCAUGGAUUAAUGUUUCUUUGUCUCAGUUUCAAGAUGGAUAAAAUGGUGACAAUUAUAUUUACCUUGCAGUGUUGUAAGGAUUGGUAUAAUAUAUGACUUUCUUCAAUCCUGUUGACUUUCAGGAAAAGGAAUCUUGACCCCUUAACUUUAGGCUGUAGUAUUUGGUUGGAUUACGUGGAGCGUGUGUGUUGGGGAGAUGGAGAGAGUGAAGAUGCAGAAGUGAGUGAAGACUGCCACUGUGUGUGGGGAGAAAGUUACUAUUUCUACUUCACCAAUAAUGGAAUGGAAUGUUCUGACAAGAUGGUACCUGGUUCUAGAUGUUGUGGUGUUGGGCUUUGUUGAGGUUUAAGUAUUUCUAAGAGAGUUCUCUUAGAGUCCAGCAGAUUAUGAGACUACCAAGAUACUACUUUAGAUGGUGGCCAUGUUGGACUUGACCCGGGACCAGCCUAGGGUGACCACACAGGAUAUUUUUAGGCUCCCAUGUCCUCUAUCGGUGAGUAUUAGAAUUAUUUGGCUGCCAGCAACAGACUUUAACUAACUUAAGCAAAAAUGCAUUAUUGGAGGGCUUCAGAGUAGCUUGCAAAGAGUAGUAGGUGAACAAGUAGGUCUUAGGUAGGGUAGACACCAGGACAGUUCUGGGUACCUCAGCAGUUGGACAAAUACUAUAGAGUGCGGUUGUUGGAUGGCAGCUAUUCUUCUUGGCUCCCCUGUGUGUCAAAGAUUCAGAUUCCCCGCAGAAGGGCUGUGAUUGGCUUCCUUGCAACACUUGGCCACCCUGGUAGGCAGGGGGAGGAUUUCUGUGGUUGUCAGCUCAAUAGAAACACAUCAGAGGAGAAAGAGUGCCCCGAAUGAAGGAGGAUGUCAUUUACCAGAAGCAGGUAAGACAUUGACACAGAUCUUUGUGACUUGGCCUCUGCCCCAUGGAACUCAAGUCACCAGGUCACAAUUCUGCCUCUGGGACAUGUGAAGCCUGGUGCUACCAGGGUACCCUGGGGCUUUGUCAGGUUUGGUCAUUCUUGAGGGUUUGCCAUGUCUCCUUGGUUUCUCCAUGCUUUACAAACAUAGCCAAAAAACAUUUUAGGAAGGCUCCUUCCCUAUGGAUGUUACUGAUCUCUUGUUGACAUCUAAGGUUAUGCCUUCAUAGAGCCUCAAUGGUUUUGUCGACCUGAGCGCUCUCACCAUUCACACCUCUCCAAGCCUUUGAAGACACUCUACUGUCUGCUUCGAGUGUGUUUUCCUGCUACAAGUGCCUACUCACCUUCAAGCUCCAAUGUCAUCCCUUUUCUGGUCCCCACUCUCCCUGAAGUCAUGCAGUUAGUGGCAGAGGCUCACGUAGAAUCCGGGUCCCCUGGCUUUCAGUAGAGUCACUACAAUAAAAUGGCCACUAAUUAAGGCUUUGGAGUCCACAACCCUGGGAGUGAGUCCCAGUUCUGCAUUAGAUAACCUUGGGGUCAUUAUUUACCAUUUUGGAGACUUCGUUUUCUCUUCUUUAAAGGGAAUAUUAACAGUACUCUCCUCAUAGAUUCUUGUGAAAAUUAAAUUAAGAUAAUAAGGUAAAGUGGUUUGCACAAUGCCUGGCACACAGUAAGUGCUCAAUAAAUGUUAGCUACUAUGGUAUCGUGUUCCUGGCCCAGGAAGAUUAUGUAAAUGAGUUAAAGGGUAGAGAGCUUUAAAAUCCUCAGGAGCAAGCCGAGUAACCUUCAUGUGCAAAGAUUUGGAAAGCCCCAGGGAAGAGUCAGUACUGAAAAGUCGGCUACUGUAAAAGUUGUAAACAAAUCUUAAAAUACUAAUUAGGCAACAGCAUAACUCACUCUCUUAAAUAAUGAAAUAUAUGGGGUUGUUGUUCAUGGUUCAAAUAAUAAAUUCUAAAUUAGUCACUCAGAGCAUUAUUAAUAACGAAACACAGUCUGCAAAGCAGCUAAGGUAUUUUUGAUCCUCAUGAAUUUAGUAAUAAGAGAAAAUAUUAAAAUCAGACUCUUUGGAGAUUAACAUGGAUCACUCAGAUGGUCUGUUUUUGUGGAAAGAUGAUUGGAUUCGGAAUUAGAACACCUGAGUUUGGGUCCUGGCUCUGUUGAUUGUUAGCUAUGUGAUCUGUGGGAAGACACAGCCUUCCUGGGUAUUUCCUCCCCUAUCAAGUGAGAAAAUAUUCUGUCACAGGAUUGUGACUUUAGGUGACAAAUAAUCUAUAUGAAAGGAUCUUAAAUAUUACAACAUGCUUUCUAGACAAUGAAGUGCAGCUUUAUUCAAGAGUAUGCUUGUAAAAACAACACAUUCGUUUAUCAUUCCUUUAUUCUUUCACUCAUUGGUCAGCACCUACUGUAAGCCUAGCAUGGUACAAGUUUCAGUUGGGGAUAAAAAGGCAGCAGAAGAAUGAUGUCCACUCUCAGAAAACCAAUAGGCCAGUUGAAAAGACAAUGUACACAGCAAUAAGCAAAUGCAUCCUUCUAAACUCUUCCUGCCUUUAAAUCCAGGGAAAUACAAAGUGAGAGAAAGAUCAGGAUUUACUCAAGAAAAGCCGUCUUGAGGGAGGUCUUAGAUUGUGUCCUGUGGUACAAGUCAGGGGUGGGGAGGACAAGUUACAUGACUGGAACAGAAAGAGUAAGACAGAUGAGGAAACAAUAAAGCAUGUUUGGCAUUUGUCAGUCAACAAUCAGUUAGUGGACACAUUUGUAUUGGGUACGGGAUGAGGCCUAGGUGCUGUGGGAGAAUUGGCAGAAGGAAGAGGCUUGACUUCCAUCCCCUAGGAAUUUUCAGUCUACAAAGCACUAGGAGGGGUGAGAAAAAAUACUGGUAAAGCAGCUGAAGAAGCGACAGAGCAUGAGUAAGUGCAAGAUGUUGUUGAGCUGAACCCUAGGGUUUAGCCAUCUCAAAAGUCUGGCUGCUAUUUUUCUGAUGAGGAAGACUGUGCCUUUAAAUCCACAGCUCAAGAAAACAUUUCAGUUUGCCAAGCUUCUGCUAAGCCAUCCUGAAAAAAAUAUUCAACAGCUUUCACCAGCCAGAGGCUCCAAUAUCCAAUCUCUGUCUCAAAUGAUAAAUGACAUUUGUCAGUUGACAAAGCAAACGGCCUCGACCAUUUGAGGACACGGUCCUGCUGUGCAUAGCACUCCUGUAGAACCCGCCAAGAGCACCUUGAGGUGAGAAAAAGCCUCUUUGUGCUCGAGCCCUCCAGAGAGAGGCGGAAAACAAGCAGCCUUUGUGUCGCUGUGAGGGCGGUUCCUCGUUAGGAGCUGAAACCCUAGUAGAAAGUGUCUGUCUGGGCAGGAGGGGAUUUCUCAGGUCUGGAGGCUGGAUUAAUCAGGGAUGGGCUGGAACCUUGCUGAUGGCCGUGCACUUUGCCUACAUUUCUGCUCAGGUCUCUGCUCUUUUUACUAAUAUCCCUUAAAUCCUGUCGUCAGAGCAGAAGGCAACGUGAUGAGCAGGAGACAAAAUCAAGGGGUAGCUCACACUGACACUAACAGCACAGUUGAUGGUGGUGUGCAUGUUGGGGAGGGUAAGUAACUUUGGCACUGUGGAUGGAAGGGCAUUUUUUCUUUGUGUAGUUCUUUCUCUAGAAUUGUGGGGUGUUUAACAUUCCUGACCUCACCCACUGAAUGACAGUAUUGCCCCCAGUCAUGGUAACUCUUAAAACCCUCCAUGUAUUUCCAACCUCCACUUCCAGGGUUUGUGGAGAACCCAAAAAAGCACUGGGUGAUGGACCUUGACCUCCACAGUGGUCCCAGCUUCCUCCGAUGUUCUCCAGGAGUCUGGGGCAGGGCAGAGUCUCUGUCUCCCUCACAAGUGCCCUCUGGGGAUGGGAGUGGUGGACUAAGACCGGAUUUGGUGUGCCCCCCACUAUCCUUUCUGAGCUAGGUGUUUACUCCAUGCUGAGCCAUCUGGAAGAAUCCAUCAGCUUUCCAGAAUGAGGCAAGGGCAUGGCAGUGGACUCAGGGGAGCUGUGAAAGGCAGGCAAAGAUAGUCAGCCAGUUAGAUAGAGGGACAACAUGGUCCUCUCCUAACUGCAGACGGGUCCUCAGGAGAAGGGCUUUCCAGGUUGAACCAGUCCAAGUCGAGGGCUCUAAGUUCAAGUGGUCUAACCAUCCAUUCCAGGAUUUUCUAAUAUGUGGUCCUUGACCAUUUGCAUUUGACUGACCUGGGGUGCUUGUGGAAAAUGCAGAUUCAUGGCUCCCAAGACCCACUAUGUCAAGUUUCUGCAUUUGGGAUUGGGAAUCCGAAUUUUCAAAAAAUUCCCUCUGUGAUUCUUUUUCAAGCUAAAGUUUGAGAGAAGUAAGGAUCUACCACCAAUGCUUGAGUUCCCUCUGUAAGAACCCUGAUUAACAAUUGCCCAGUCUCUGAACACCUUUAGUGGAGGGGGUCUCGCUCCCUCUGGAGGCAGCCCAUUGCCUCACUGGCUAACUCUAGUGCUCAGCAAGCUUCCCCAAUGGGUAAAGCACGGUUUCAUUGAUGGGGGAGAACCCUAAACUCAAACAUGCGCGUGUGUGUGUGUCUAAAUUCAUUUCAAAAGGCUUGAAAGGAUAGACACUCAACUUAAAUGUGGCUCCUUAUGGGAGGGAGAGUAAAAUAUGGGUAUGUGGGGAAGUUUAAAGGGGGGAACUUUAUAUUCUAUAUGUCUCUGUAUUGCUUGAGUUUUUCUUUGACAAUUUACAUAUAUUUGUUGUGUAAUUUUAAAAGUAAAAGACAAGAGUGCAUCAACACUGACAUUCUUUGUACUGAGCAAAAUCUUCCUCACUCUAUAUUUUCCCCCUUAGUUCUAGAGGGAAUCACACUGGGUUGCACAGAAUUUCCAGUUUCUUCCCUACCUGUCAAAAGUUUCUGAAUGCUGUUAGCUUGUCCCUUCUAGGCACUGGCUCUCUAAGCCAAAUGGCCCUGGUUCCUUGACCCUUGCGCUGAGAUCUGGCACAUUAAUCUUCCCGGAAAUUGCCCCUCCUUACCCGCCUGGCAAUGCUGUUCAGCUUGACAGUAUUCUGUGAGAAUUAUGUUCCGUGCUAUAUGAGAGUGACAUUCUGGGUGUGCUGUAACCUGAACAGAGGGAGUAGGAUGGUUGUCUCUAUCUUACUAGGUUCUAUCUUUCCAUUAAUGCUGCUUAAGGCUUUUUGGAAGCCAUGUCACACUGAUGACUCCUAUUGACCAAAGAGUCAAAUAAAACCCCUAAAUCUCGGUCAUACCAGCUGCUGCCAUGGCUCGCCCCCACCUCCCUGUACUGCUUUCAGCUAGCUUUCUGGACCCAAGUGGAAAACUUAAACUAAUUCCUAUUAAACUUCAUCUUGUUAGGCUUGGCUCAUUGAUCCAGGAGGCUGCAGCCUCUUUUCUUUUUGGAUCUUGAUUUUGUUCUCAGCAGAAAUCUCGUUCUGCAAAGUUUGAUUUUAUUUGACUGCAGAGGGGAAAAAAAACCCCACAAAAACCUCUUUAUUUUGAACAGGAGACUCUCACAGAAAAUAAACCUGAGGUUGGCAUUUUCAAAUACCCUGAACAAACGCAGAACUUGCUGCCAGCUUGAUUGGACAAGGCUCCGCUUCAGGGUCUGCUACCUGCCUGCUCCUAAGGCAAGUCCCACGACAUAUGCUACCAGGCUGGAAGGGAGCUCUGCAGACAGAAGGCCCCUUCCCAGACAGAUGGGUGUCUCUCCUCUUCCGAAAGAUCCCCUGGGAAGGCUCCACUGGGAGCAUCUUCCAGAAAUGGGAUGACUGUGUAUUGCGAAUGGCUUUAUUGCUCAGAGCAUCUGGAUGUGUUGUGAUAAACAGCAUGAUAGAUGGUUUAAUGCCUCUAAGAAUGGGUUGCCCAGAGAGAAGGAACAAAACAGAGAAUAUCACCUCCUGAUUGCUUGGAACAAAGCAGGGUGGCUCACGAAAGAUUCCACCUGAGUGGUUCUUCCUGCUCAUCCUUGUGGCAAUUUCAGCGCCAUGGACCUGAGGGGGGACUUGGAGAAGGGGAGAUUUGCUGGAGGUGGUGAGCUGGAUGGACAGAGUGUUCAUUUCUAUGUGCAGCAAAUAUUCUUUGAGGGUUAAUGAAGAUCACUGUGCUGGGCAUUGGGGGUAAAUGACAGGGAAACCAGACGUGAACCCUGCACUCACAAAGCUUUAAGCUUAGUCAAAGAGGCAUAUGUUACUAAAGUGGUCACUCAAAUAUAAGUAUUAUUACAAGAGUGGAAAAUGCAACAAAGAGAACAUGUUGUGAUGGGGAGUCUAAUUCUAGACUGGAAGGUCAGGGAAGGCUUCUCUGAAGAGGUGACAUUUCAGCUGAAAUCUGCAAGUUGUGUGGGAGGUAACUUGGCAAUGAGGUAGAAGAUAUGACAGCCAUAUGCUAAAAUGAGAUUGCUCUGGCUGCUGGGUGGAGAAUGGCUGGAGAGGAGCAAAAGGGGAUGAGGAGAGCAAAAGGAAGCAGCUGUCCCGGUGGUCUAGGUGAGAGACGCCAAGAGCUUGCACUAGCAUGGUGGCGGUGGUGAUGGAAGAUAUGGGCUGACAGGAAAGGUAAAAUAUUUUUAAAGUAAAUCAAGACUUGGUAAGAGAUCAAAAGGAGCGUAAUGGAGAAGAAAAUCUCAAGGCUGACACCUAGGUUUCUGUCAAACCCACCUGAAUGGAUGGGGAAGUUUAUGAGUCCCACUUUUGGCACACUGAGUUUGAUGAGCUUUUGGGAGAAGGAAACAGGCAGUUGGACAUGAACUUGUUGUGCUUAAAGGAGAGGGCUGGACUCCGAUUCUCAGAGCCAUGGUGAAUAGGUGGCGAAUGAAGUGCUGGCCUGCAUGAAAUUGCUUAGGGAGAGAGUAGAGAGUAAGAAACCAAGAGGACAUGGGACCGACCCAUCCCUAGUGAACUCCACUGUGUAACGGUCAGAUAGAGCAGGAAGCCAAUAAAGGAAACUUGAGAAGGAAGCGGUCAGAGGAUGGAAACCAGGAGAAUGUGAGGUCACCAUGUCCAGGAGACAGUCGUUGGUUGGAGGGGCAGGGUUACCAGCACUGUAUCCUGCUGAGCUGUCAAAUAAUUUGAGGAAUGGAAAUUGUCUAUGGGCUUGAGCAACAUGGAGAUUGUAUUCAUCUCCUAGGGCUGCAGAUUAUCGCAAUACAGAUGACCACAAACCGGGUGGCUUACGACAACAGAAAUGUAUAAUUUCACAGUUCUGGAGGCUAGAGGUCUGAAAUGGUGUCCGCCAGGCCCUGCUCUCUCUGAAGGCUCUGGGGGAGAAUCCUUCCUUGUCUCUUCCUUGUUGCCGAUAGUUGGCAGCUAUCCUUGGUGCUCCUUGGCUUGUAGAUGUAUCACUCCAAUCUCUGCCUCCUUCUUACAUGGCCUUCUCCUUGUACGUCUGUGCCCAAAUUUGCUUCUUCUUGUUAGGGCACGGGUUAUAUUAGACAGGGCCCAUCCUAAUCCAGUGUGGCCUCAUCUUAACUUGAUUACAUCUGCAAAGAUCCUAUUUCCAAAUGUCGCAUUCACAGGCACUGGGGCUUAGGACUUGAAACCAUCUUUUUGGGGGACACAAUUCAACAGUAACAGAGGUUGUCGGUAACUUUGACAGUGGCUUUUGCAGCAAGAUAAGAGAAGAUGACUGGAAUGUGUUGAGAAGGGACUGAGAGGCGGGAAAUUAGAGCUAGCACAAGACAAGACAACUCCUUCAAGAAAUUUGGCUGACUGGGGCACUGGGGCACUGGACCGGGAUCCAAAAACCUUCAUCUGUGCACCAGCUCCACCACGACCGGUGUGACCUUCCCUGAGCCCUGCUUUCUCAUUUGGGGAAUGAUUAUGCCCAUGCAACCCACCUUUGGAAUAACUUGGAGCUCUUGUGAGUUUCAAGGAGGUAAGGCACAGGAAGACUUCAUAGACUCCAAAAGCAAUGAGAGAUGCAGGAGAUUACGAUUAUGUGGGUUUAGGGAAGACCCCUACCCAUGUUUGGGUAUAUGUGUCUAUGGGCCAGCUUGAGGCAGGGACUCCAGGCAGAACAGGACUUUGGAGCUUCCUUCCAUGAGCCCGUUGAUCCAGCCAGGCAGCACAAAGACCGACCUGUUGAGCAGGCUAGCUUCCUCAGUGUGCUCUGAGCACUUUGCCUGGAGGAACUCUGUGGGCAUGACUUAGUGGCAUGAUGUUUCUUUGUCCUUGCCUAUAGGAGAGCUCACAUCAUCCAGGGCCUUACACACUCCAUCUUGGAAACUGAUGCUGGCAGAGAAGAAGGAACCCAGAGUCUUGGUUCUUGGGUGCCAGUCAGGGGCCUGAGAAAUUUACCCGCCGAGGUCUCUGAUCCUGUGUCUGUCAACGGGCCAGGCCUCUGGCAGCUAAACCCCAAGACCUUCUGUGGGUUGACAAGGAGGGGGACACUUUGCCACAGAGACUGGGGAAACUAGCUUGGGGACAAAAGCUGGUUGUAGAGGUGGCAGCUGAUCAAGCCAUGGGCAGGCGGGAUCCACUGCCCGAGUUGUAACUAGAGACUCCCCCGCAGUGUGGGGCUUGGCGAUGGGGCCACAGGCAGCAGGCAGCACCAGGCAGCCAGGCAAGCAGACAGCUGUGGCGGGCUCUGUGAGGAAGGGCAGGCCGUCCUCCCAAGAGGAGGAGCAGGUUGGCUGCAGGGCCUGAGUUGCUAGCAAUGAUUAAUUUAUUCCUUACUGGAUUUGUCAGGUGUCAGGGCCUAGGCGCUGGCUGGGUGGCUGGGGAGAAAUGCAGCCUUGAUGAACUGUUUUAAACACGUGUGAUCAGAAACUCUAGAAAAAAAGAAUUUCAGCAUAUAUUUUGGCUACUUUCCAAAAUGUGAGUUUAUUUGGAAUUAUUUCUAGAACUAGGUGGGUGGGCACCAAAAUCUUUUUCUUGUUUAAAGCCCUGGAAGGAGCGAGGGUUUGACAGGAGCCCCAAACAUGCCUCCAAGAGAAGAGGCCAGGGGGAGUGUAGCGAUGAAGGCCCCGUGGCUUGAGACAAAUGAGAAGAGAGGGAGAGAGCUGAGACGCGGGCUGUUCGCUUGGUGGUUCCUCAGUCGCCAGGGCAGGCUGACUGUGAAGGAGCUGCUGCAGCUCGCGGGAGCCCAGGAACAGUGACCCCGCUCUCGGAUCCCAGGUGCAGGAGGCUGGCUGAGAUUUCAACGAUAGUAGUCAGGUCUGCACUUGGGGAAAGGUCACGGCUCAUAAUAGCUUGGAUUGUUCAACCUAGACAUGUGCGGAUUAGGAAACAAGACGCAGAGAGACUCCGACCCGCUCAAGGUGAAAGUCCCAGUUGGUGGCUGAGCCAGCCAAGGAUGCCUGCGUCCUGACAUCCAGCCCUGAGCUCUUCUGAAGAUGAGGGGACUCUUAAGAAUACACAAUACUUCCAGGCUUUUUGUUCCGACAGAAGUAAGUUUGCAAAGCAGUUGUGGAGGACUCUCGGAAGAAGGGCAAACAGUCCCCGAGGGGGUGGAGCUGCUGGUUCCAGGAGCUCUGUUGCCAGCAAUUAUUAAUUCACUCCGGCUGGCGCUGUCUUGGGGGCCUCCCGCGCACAAUAGCAUUAGGAGCGUUGGCAGCUGCGGAGGGAGAAGGCCCGCUCCACCUGGGAAUGAGGAAGAUGUGACUCCUCGCAAGGUUGCUCUCCUCCCAGCUCCCGCUCUUGGGAGAGAUGAUCAGUGCUUGCGGGCCUGGGAGCAGGCUGCUGAGGACACAGUGUUCCCGGGGAUGGUGGCAGAUCUUGGAGAAGGGACAGAAGCUGGGCCAAGAGACUGGAACUUAUGCAAAUCAGGCCUGAGGAUGGUUCAAGGAGGGGGCAGCCCCUGCCUUAUGCCUCCCCCUCAGCAUACCCAGAACCAGACUCCUCGGGAGGAACAUCUUUUGUCUUCAAUGCUAAGCUUGUUCACGAGGAUGUGCGCUGGGAAAAUAGGUUUGGAAUUUGAUGAACUGCCUGCUGCUGGCUCCUCUGUUUUCUGGCAUCAAGGUUCCUCAAUAGUGGACUCAACAGUUGCAUUUUUCACCUACAAAAGAAUUGCUAUCAGAAAACCAGACAGCGGAUAAUUGUAUUUUGUGAAUUGACAGUGAAGCCACUCGGUUUCAGCCCAGGUCCAAAGGCUGAGGAUGUUCACCCAGGAGAAAUGGUUUGUGCGAGAGAAUUCAUUUCUGAGUACUCAUUUUUACUGGAGGAAACAGGGUUGCUUGGAUUUUUUUUUUUUUUAUUCUUCUUCAACAUGUAG